UACGAAGGGGGCUAGCGUUGCUCGGAAUCACUGGGCGUAAAGGGUGCGUAGGCGGCGCGGUAAGUCGGGUGUGAAAUCUCGGGGCUCAACCCCGAAACUGCACUGGAUACUGCCUUGCUCGAGUACUGGAGAGGAGAUUGGAAUUUACGGUGUAGCAGUGAAAUGCGUAGAUAUCGUAAGGAAGACCAGUGGCGAAGGCGAAUCUCUGGACAGUUACUGACACUGAGGCACGAAGGCCAGGGGAGCAAACGGG
rnacentral:rRNA from 1 species